CGGUUGCGGUUUCAAACAAGACGUGGCAAUAACUUUCAGAAAACAAGACCACUGAGAUUCAGCCACGAUGCACCAUAUAUAAGGGAGAUCCUAUGAUUCUAGAAAUUCAGUUUAUUUUCUGAAGCCGUCAAUGUAAGUCUCUACUCAAAGCGCAAAAUGAAAGUGUUUGUUGUGUUCGUCUUAUUUGCUGCCGUCGCAGUCGCAUUUCCAACCGGUGAGCCUGAACCGGAGGCACAGACGAAAAUGCAGACUGAAUUGAAGAAAGAAGAACAAAACACUCUUGCUGAAGUCGAGGGCAACCCAAAAGGAGACAACAAGGGCAUCGAAGCUGAACGUGCGAAAAGAUUCAUUUUCUUCGGUGUACCUUGGCCAAUUGCUUAUUCUUAUCCAGUCUAUGCACCUGUUGUAACCAGAACAAAAGUUGUUUCCGUUCUUGUUUAAUUGCUUUACGAUGAUCAAUACCUUUUCUCGUACACCAAUCACAACUAAAUGAAUACACAUAAUCAGUAAUACUCAAUGAAGCAGCGGACUUGUCGGCAUACUCGUGGAUUCAGCAUUUCACUUGCUUUGGCGAUUCGUGAGUUGCCGAAGCAACUGUUUAACGUGAAAACCUAUAUUCGGUACAUCGAAGUUGGCCGAGGUAUGAUUUCGUUUGCGCUUAGCGCGUAAGCAAUUCACUUGCGAUAUAUAGUAUAUAGGAAUUCACGUUAUAUCGCAAGUGAAUUGCUUACGCGACGCUGUACCGAAUAUAGGUUUUCACGUUAAAUAUCGAGUGCACUGCAUAUAUGAUGCUUCAGCAACUCACGAAUCGCCAAAGCAAGUGAAAUGCUAAAUCCACGAGUGUGCCGACAAGUCCGCUGCUUCAUUGAGUAAUAAAGAGAAAUAACGAGAAAAUGAUGAAUAUCUAGUAAUAGACAUUGUACUAUUCAAAAUAUUAUCUAAAAAAUAAAUGUUUCAUUUUAACCAGUUUUUUUUUCAUAAAAAAUGUGAAAAUUUCAAUUUAGAAACGAUAGUUUUCAAUACUUUGCAUAUCUCACGGUUCAUAAAUCAACUUAACAUUAACCGAUUCAAAUUUGUUGGACGAAUAAAACCAGUUUCAUAGCAACGUUAUCCAAGAUGAAGAUUUGAUCUCAACUAUGGAACAAUGAUAGAUCUCAUAUUUUAAAUUUGUAACUGAAUUCAAUUUGAACUUAAAUUUUUGUAAUUCUAUCCGUUUGAACGUUGCAAAUCCAAUGACUCAAUUACGAUAACUAUAGUGACAAUGACCCGUAAUUGAUAUGGCGAUAUUUGCCAAAAAAAAAAAACUACGUUUAGUUUCGUCAUGGACUGUUGUUGUUUUUGUUGCAUCGAUGUAAACAACAAUUGAACUUCGUUUCUUAGCUUCGCGUUUUAAUUCACAAUAAACUAAAAAUAGAACAUAUUUUUGGAAUAAUUUUUUCUUUAAUUUGCGUAAUAUUUAUAAAAUAAAGAGAAGAAAAAGAAUGCAUUUUUCGUUUGCAUUUUUGUAAACAUUGUUGUCAUCUCAUAUUCAGAUGUGGCUUUUUUCAACUAUUGUAGCAAACAAGGUGUGACGUGAUAGUAGCUUUUAGAAAACAAAACCACUGGCUCUAGCACCUUAUAUAAGGGAGGACCUUUAAUUGUCAACAUUCAUUUGAUUUGCUGAAAUCGUCAACACUCAAAGCGCAAAAUGAAAGUGUUUGUUGUGUUCCUCUUAUUUGCUGCCGUCGCAGUCGCAUUUCCAACCGGCGAGCCUGAUUCGGAGCCACAGACAAAAAUGCAAACUGAAAUGAAGAAAGAAGAAAAAAAUACUCUUUCUGAAGUCGAGGGCAACCCAAAAGGUGACAGUGCCGAAGAAAGCGAAGCUGAACGUGCGAAAAGAUUCAUUUUUGUCCGUGCACCAUGGCCAAUUGUAUAUUCUUAUCCAGUCUAUGCACCUGUUGUAACCAGAACCAAAGUUGUUUCGGUUCUCGUUUAAUUGCCUUUAUGAUGAUCAAAGCCUUUUUCAUGCAUAAAUCAAAAGUAAAUGAAUACAAAUAAUAAUAAUCCAUAGUUAAGCGUAUCAAAAUAGACGGGAAAAUCGAGAAAAUAACGAAUAAAAAUCAAAAAAUUAUG